rnacentral:rRNA from 1 species
CGCGGGGAAGUGAAACAUCUCAGUACCCGUAGGAAGAGUAAACAACAGUGAUUCUCCUAGUAGUGGUGAGCGAACGGGGAAGAGGCUAAACCGCAUGCGUGUGAGAGACGGCAGUCGUUGCGUGUGUGGGGUUGUGGGGUGCAUCUGUCUGGGUCUGUCGGCCCAGAGCGCUGAUGGUUCUUCUAGCUGAAUCCGUUGGGAAGCGGUACCGGAGUGGGUGAGAGUCCCGUAGGUGAAGGAAGAGUCUAGGUGUUGGUGUGUUCCCGAGUAGCGCGGAGCCCGUGAAAGUCCGUGUGAAUCUGGCAGGACCACCUGCUAAGCCAAAAUACGUCCUGGUGACCGAUAGUGCACUAGUACCGUGAGGGAAAGGUGAAAAGUGCCCCGGUGAGGGGUCGUGAAAGAGUACCUGAAACCGUGUGCUGUCAAGCCGUCAGAGCGUCCUUUCGGGGGUGUGAUGGCGUGCCUUUUGAAGAAUGAGCCUGCGAGUCAUGGUGUGUGGCGAGGUUAACCCGGGUGGGGUAGCCGUAGGGAAACCGAGUCUGAAGAGGGCGUUGGAGUCGCAUGCUGUGGACCCGAAGCGGAGUGAUCUACCCAUGUCCAGGGUGAAGCGGGGGUAAGACCUCGUGGAGGCCCGAACCCACCAGGGUUGAAAACCUGGGGGAUGAGGUGUGGGUAGGGGUGAAAGGCCAAUCAAACUCCGUGAUAGCUGGUUCUCCCCGAAAUGCAUUUAGGUGCAGCGUCGCGUGUUUCUUGCUGGAGGUAGAGCUACUGUUUGGCUGAUGGGCCCGACAAGGUUACUGACGUCAGACAAACUCCGAAUGCCGGUGAAGUGAAGCGUGGCAGUGAGACUGCGGGGGAUAAGCUUCGUAGUCGAGAGGGAAACAGCCCAGAUCAUCAGCUAAGGCCCCUAAGCGUGUGCUAAGUGGGAAAGGUUGUGGAGUUGCUGAGACAACCAGGAGGUUGGCUUAGAAGCAGCCAUCCUUUAAAGAGUGCGUAAUAGCUCACUGGUCAAGUGGUUCUGCGCCGAUAAUGUAGCGGGGCUGAAGCACACCGCCGAAGCUGUGAAGCCCGAGUUUUCUUGGGUUGGUAGGGGAGCGUCGUGUAUCCGGUGAAGCUGCCGAGUGAUCGUGUGGUGGAGGGUAUGCGAGUGAGAAUGCAGGCAUGAGUAGCGAAAGCAACGUGAGAAACGUUGCCGCCGAUUGACUAAGGGUUCCUGGGGCAGGUUAAUCCGCCCAGGGUGAGUCUGGACCUAAGGCGAGGCCGACAGGCGUAGUCGAUGGAUAACGGGUUGAUAUUCCCGUACCCGUGCACGAGCGUCCAUGCUGAAUCGGGUGAUGCUAACCACGCUGACCUCUUACGGGACCUUCGGGUUCUGUGGGGUGGUUGGUCUGGGAACCGAUCUCGUAGUAGGCAAGUGAUGGGGUGACGCAGGAGGGUAGCUCUACCCGGCGGUGGUUGUCCGGGGGUAAGCGUGUAGGCUGAGGGGUUGGUAAAUCCGCCUCUUGUUGUGCUGAGACGUGAUGCCGAGCCGUUUUUGGUGAAGUGAGUGAUCCCAUGCUGUCGAGAAAAGCCUCUAGCGAGUUCGUGUGUGGCCAGUACCCUAAACCGACGCAGGUGGUCAGGUAGAGAAUACCGAGGCGUUCGGGUGAACCAUGGUUAAGGAACUCGGCAAAUUGUCCCCGUAACUUUGGGAGAAGGGGAGCCCUGUCUGGUGAUGGAACUUUGCUUCCGGAGCUGGGUGGGGUCGCAGAUAGCGGGGGGAAGCGACUGUUUAUUAAAAACACAGGUCCGUGCGAAGUCGUAAGACGCUGUAUACGGACUGACGCCUGCCCGGUGCUGGAACGUUAAGAGGACUGGUUAGUGGGUUUCGGCCCGCGAAGCUGGGAAUCUAAGCGCCAGUAAACGGCGGUGGUAACUAUAACCAUCCUAAGGUAGCGAAAUUCCUUGUCGGGUAAGUUCCGACCUGCACGAAUGGCGUAACGACUUCCCCACUGUCUCAACCAUGGGCCCGGUGAAAUUGCACUACGAGUAAAGAUGCUCGUUUCGCGCAGCAGGACGGAAAGACCCCGGGACCUUCACUAUAGCUUGACAUUGGUGUUUGGGAUGGUUUGUGUAGGAUAGGUGGGAGCCGGUGAUACUGCCACGCUAGUGGUGGUGGAGGCGUUGGUGAAAUACCACUCUGACUGUUUCGGGCAUCUAACUUUGGGCCGUGAUCCGGUUCGAGGACAGUGUCUGGUGGGUAGUUUAACUGGGGCGGUUGCCUCCUAAAGAGUAACGGAGGCGCCCAAAGGUUCCCUCAGCCUGGUUGGUCAUCAGGUGUUGAGUGUAAGUGCACAAGGGAGCUUGACUGUGAGACGGACGUGUCGAGCAGGAGCGAAAGCUGGGACUAGUGAUCCGGCACCGGCGUGUGGAAGCGGUGUCGCUCAACGGCUAAAAGGUACCCCGGGGAUAACAGGCUGAUCUUCCCCAAGAGUCCAUAUCGACGGGAUGGUUUGGCACCUCGAUGUCGGCUCGUCGCAUCCUGGGGCUGGGGUUGGUCCCAAGG